UCUGAGUACUAUGUAAUAGUUAAAACUUUCAACAACGGAUCUCUUGGUUCUGGCAUCGAUGAAGAACGCAGCGAAAUGCGAUAAGUAAUGUGAAUUGCAGAAUUCAGUGAAUCAUCGAAUCUUUGAACGCACAUUGCGCUCCCUGGUAUUCCGGGGAGCAUGCCUGUUCGAGCGUCAUUACAACCCUCAAGCUCUGCUUGGUGUUGGGCU
rnacentral:rRNA from 1 species